rnacentral:rRNA from 1 species
UACGUAGGGCGCAAGCGUUGUCCGGAAUUAUUGGGCGUAAAGAGCUCGUAGGCGGUCUGUUACGUCCGCUGUGAAAACCCAGGGCUUAACCCUGGGCUUGCAGUGGAUACGGGUAGACUAGAGGCAGGUAGGGGAGAAUGGAAUUCCCGGUGUAGCGGUGAAAUGCGCAGAUAUCGGGAGGAACACCGGUGGCGGAGGCGGUUCUCUGGGCCUGACCUGGCGCUGAAGAGGGGAAGCGUGGGGAGCGAACAGG